CGCUAGCGGCAGGCCUAAUACAUGCAAGUCGAACGGGUUCAAGUAGCAAUACUUGGAUCAGUGGCGCACGGGUGCGUAACGCGUAUGCAACCUACCUUAAACUGGGGGAUAGCCUUCCGAAAGGGAGAUUAAUACCGCAUAAGAUCAUUUGAUGGCAUCUGAAGAUGAUUAAAGAUUUAUUGGUUUAAGAUGGGCAUGCGUGCCAUUAGCUAGUUGGUAGUGUAACGGACUACCAAGGCGACGAUGGCUAGGGGUUCUGAGAGGAUGAUCCCCCACACUGGUACUGAGAUACGGACCAGACUCCUACGGGAGGCAGCAGUAGGGAAUAUUGGGCAAUGGACGGAAGUCUGACCCAGCCAUGCCGCGUGCAGGAAGAAGGCCUUCUGGGUUGUAAACUGCUUUUAUAUAGGAAGAAAACACCCAUGCGUGGGAACCUGACGGUACUAUAUGAAUAAGCACCGGCU
rnacentral:rRNA from 1 species